GUUGUAUAGUCAAGUAAUUAAGUGCAUGUGGUGGAUGCCUUGGCAGUCAGAGGCGAUGAAAGACGUGAUAGCCUGCGAAAAGCUCCGGGGAGGCGGCAAAUAUCCUUUGAUCCGGAGAUGUCUGAAUGGGGGAACCCACCUACUUUAAGGUAGGUAUUGCAACAUGAAUACAUAGUGUUGCAAGGCGAACGAGGGGAAGUGAAACAUCUCAGUACCCUUAGGAAAAGAAAUCAAUUGAGAUUCCCUCAGUAGCGGCGAGCGAACGGGGAUCAGCCCAUUAAGUUAUGUGUGUUUUAGUGGAACGCUCUGGGAAGUGCGAACGUAGAGGGUGAUAUUCCCGUACACGAAAGGGCACACAUAAUGAUGACGAGUAGGGCGAGGCACGUGAAACCUUGUCUGAAUAUGGGGGGACCAUCCUCCAAGGCUAAAUACUCCUGACUGACCGAUAGUGAACCAGUACCGUGAGGGAAAGGCGAAAAGAACCCCUGUGAGGGGAGUGAAAUAGAUCCUGAAACCGCAUGCAUACAAGCAGUGGGAGCACCUUCGUGGUGUGACUGCGUACCUUUUGUAUAAUGGGUCAGCGACUUAUAUUCAGUAGCGAGGUUAACCGUAUAGGGGAGCCGUAGAGAAAUCGAGUCUUAAUAGGGCGUUUAGUUGCUGGGUAUAGACCCGAAACCAGGCGAUCUAUCCAUGAGCAGGUUGAAGGUUGGGUAACACUAACUGGAGGACCGAACCCACUGUCGUUGAAAAGCCAGGGGAUGACUUGUGGAUAGGGGUGAAAGGCUAAUCAAGCCUGGUGAUAGCUGGUUCUCCCCGAAAGCUAUUUAGGUAGCGCCUCGGACGAAUACCAUAGGGGGUAGAGCACUGUUUCGGCUAGGGGGUCAUCCCGACUUACCAAACCGAUGCAAACUCCGAAUACCUAUGAGUACUAUCCGGGAGACAGACUGCGGGUGCUAACGUCCGUAGUCAAGAGGAAAACAAUCCAGACCGCCAGCUAAGGCCCCAAAAUCAUAGUUAAGUGGGAAACGAUGUGGGAAGGCAUAGACAGCUAGGAGGUUGGCUUAGAAGCAGCCACCCUUUAAAGAAAGCGUAAUAGCUCACUAGUCGAGUCGGCCUGCGCGGAAGAUGUAACGGGGCUAAAACUAUGUGCCGAAGCUGCGGAUGUAUACUUUGUAUACGUGGUAGGGGAGCGUUCUGUAAGCCGAUGAAGGUGUGUUGAGAAGCAUGCUGGAGGUAUCAGAAGUGCGAAUGCUGACGUGAGUAACGACAAAACGGGUGAAAAACCCGUUCGCCGAAAGACCAAGGGUUCCAGUCCAACGUUAAUCGGGGCUGGGUGAGUCGACCCCUAAGGCGAGGCCGAAAGGCGUAGUCGAUGGGAAAAUGGUUAAUAUUCCAUUACUUCUGUGUAAUGCGAUGAGAGGACGGAGAAGGCUAAAUCAGCCUGGCGUUGGUUGUCCAGGUGAAAGGAUGUAGGCAUGUAUCUUAGGCAAAUCCGGGGUACUCUAUGCUGAGAUCUGAUAGCAAGCUGUACUUGUACAGCGAAGUGGUUGAUGCCAUGCUUCCAGGAAAAGUCUCUAAGCUUCAGUUACACAGGAAUCGUACCCGAAACCGACACAGGUGGUCAGGUCGAGUAGACCAAGGCGCUUGAGAGAACUCUGCUGAAGGAACUAGGCAAAAUGGUACCGUAACUUCGGGAGAAGGUACGCUGUUGUUGGUGAUGGAACUCGCUUCCUGAGCUGACGACAGCCGCAGAAACCAGGCCGCUGCAACUGUUUAUUAAAAACAUAGCACUCUGCAAACACGAAAGUGGACGUAUAGGGUGUGAUGCCUGCCCGGUGCUGGAAGGUUAAUUGAUGGGGUUAGCGUAAGCGAAGCUCUUGAUCGAAGCCCCAGUAAACGGCGGCCGUAACUAUAACGGUCCUAAGGUAGCGAAAUUCCUUGUCGGGUAAGUUCCGACCUGCACGAAUGGCAUAAUGAUGGCGGCGCUGUCUCCAGCAGAGGCUCAGUGAAAUCGAAAUCGCUGUGAAGAUGCAGUGUACCCGCGGCUAGACGGAAAGACCCCGUGAACCUUUACUGCAGCUUGACACUGAACUUUGACCUUACUUGUGUAGGAUAGGUGGGAGGCUUUGAAGCUGGAACGCUAGUUCCAGUGGAGCCGUCCUUGAAAUACCACCCUGGUAAUGUUGAGGUUCUAACUCUGUCCCGUGAUCCGGGACGAGGACCGUGUCUGGUGGGUAGUUUGACUGGGGCGGUCUCCUCCUAAAGAGUAACGGAGGAGUACGAAGGUGCGCUCAGCGUGGUCGGAAAUCACGCGUAGAGUAUAAAGGCAAAAGCGCGCUUAACUGCGAGACCCACAAGUCGAGCAGGUACGAAAGUAGGUCUUAGUGAUCCGGUGGUUCUGUAUGGAAGGGCCAUCGCUCAACGGAUAAAAGGUACUCUGGGGAUAACAGGCUGAUACCGCCCAAGAGUUCAUAUCGACGGCGGUGUUUGGCACCUCGAUGUCGGCUCAUCUCAUCCUGGGGCUGAAGCAGGUCCCAAGGGUAUGGCUGUUCGCCAUUUAAAGAGGUACGCGAGCUGGGUUUAGAACGUCGUGAGACAGUUCGGUCCCUAUCUACCGUGGGCGCUGGAAAUUUGAGAGGAUCUGCUCCUAGUACGAGAGGACCAGAGUGGACGAACCUCUGGUGUACCGGUUGUGACGCCAGUCGCAUCGCCGGGUAGCUAUGUUCGGAAGGGAUAACCGCUGAAAGCAUCUAAGCGGGAAGCCUACCUCAAGAUAAGAUUUCCCUAGGACUUUAUGUCCUCUAAAGAGCCGUUCGAGACUAGGACGUUGAUAGGUUGGAUGUGGAAGCAUAGUGAUAUGUGAAGCUGACCAAUACUAAUUGCUCGUGAGGCUUGACUAUACAACUCCCAAGCAGUUG
rnacentral:rRNA from 1 species